rnacentral:rRNA from 1 species
AUUGAACGCUGGCGGCAGGCUUAACACAUGCAAGUCGAACGAGUGGCGGACGGGUGAGUAAUGCUUGGGAAUCUAGCUUAUGGAGGGGGAUAACUACGGGAAACUGUAGCUAAUACCGCGUACCAUAGGAUGAGCCCAAGUGGGUUUAGGUAUUCGGUGAGGUAAAGGCUCACCAAGCCGACGAUCACUAGCUGGUCUGAGAGGAUGACCCGCCACACUGGAACUGUGACACGGCCCAGAUUCCGACGUGAGGCAGCAGUAGGGACUAUCGCGCCAAGGGGGCAACCUGACGCAGCCAGGCCGCGUGAAUGAAGAGGGCCUUCGGGUGGUAAGGUUCUUUCGGUAGCGAGGCGUUGACUGCAGAAGAAGCACCGGCUAGCUCCGUGCCAACAGCCGCGGUAAUAC